rnacentral:ncRNA from 1 species
GAAAAUCCUAUGAGGGGAAAUAGUAGGUUAGUUAACUAUUGAUAGAGAGUCGGUGAUGGUGGAAUACCGAUAUUAGCAACUGAUUGAAUGGGUCUCUGAGGAGUGAAUCGAAAUCUUUUCGAGAGUAGACUUCACCGUGGGCUGCACGAUAUAGCGGAUAGGGAAUCAUGUGUUCCUGAAUAGAGAUGUACGAGUCUAUUCUCGUAUAAAUUAGGUGGCAACGCGGAUUAUACUUCGCCCUAUAU